GAGUGCGAAGGAUAUAUCCUUCCACUGGUGUAUACCAAUGAUGCUCACAGUAAAAACUAGUUGAUUUUUCAAUUGGUAGCGGCCAGACAACCGUAGGGAUGUGGUAUCCACAGAUAACGCGUUUAAUUCAGUCACGUUUUUUCUACUAACUACAUCUCACAUGU